rnacentral:rRNA from 1 species
AGAGUUUGAUCAUGGCUCAGAUUGAACGCUGGCGGCAGGCCUAACACAUGCAAGUCGAACGGUAACAGGAAGCAGCUUGCUGCUUCGCUGACGAGUGGCGGACGGGUGAGUAAUGUCUGGGAAACUGCCUGAUGGAGGGGGAUAACUACUGGAAACGGUGGCUAAUACCGCAUAACGUCGCAAGACCAAAGAGGGGGACCUUCGGGCCUCUUGCCAUCAGAUGUGCCCAGAUGGGAUUAGCUUGUUGGUGAGGUAAUGGCUCACCAAGGCGACGAUCCCUAGCUGGUCUGAGAGGAUGACCAGCCACACUGGAACUGAGACACGGUCCAGACUCCUACGGGAGGCAGCAGUGGGGAAUAUUGCACAAUGGGCGCAAGCCUGAUGCAGCCAUGCCGCGUGUAUGAAGAAGGCCUUCGGGUUGUAAAGUACUUUCAGCGGGGAGGAAGGUGUUGUGGUUAAUAACCGCAGCAAUUGACGUUACCCGCAGAAGAAGCACCGGCUAACUCCGUGCCAGCAGCCGCGGUAAUACGGAGGGUGCAAGCGUUAAUCGGAAUUACUGGGCGUAAAGCGCACGCAGGCGGUCUGUCAAGUCGGAUGUGAAAUCCCCGGGCUCAACCUGGGAACUGCAUUCGAAACUGGCAGGCUUGAGUCUUGUAGAGGGGGGUAGAAUUCCAGGUGUAGCGGUGAAAUGCGUAGAGAUCUGGAGGAAUACCGGUGGCGAAGGCGGCCCCCUGGACAAAGACUGACGCUCAGGUGCGAAAGCGUGGGGAGCAAACAGGAUUAGAUACCCUGGUAGUCCACGCCGUAAACGAUGUCUACUUGGAGGUUGUGCCCUUGAGGCGUGGCUUCCGGAGCUAACGCGUUAAGUAGACCGCCUGGGGAGUACGGCCGCAAGGUUAAAACUCAAAUGAAUUGACGGGGGCCCGCACAAGCGGUGGAGCAUGUGGUUUAAUUCGAUGCAACGCGAAGAACCUUACCUGGUCUUGACAUCCACGGAAGUUUUCAGAGAUGAGAAUGUGCCUUCGGGAACCGUGAGACAGGUGCUGCAUGGCUGUCGUCAGCUCGUGUUGUGAAAUGUUGGGUUAAGUCCCGCAACGAGCGCAACCCUUAUCCUUUGUUGCCAGCGGUCCGGCCGGGAACUCAAAGGAGACUGCCAGUGAUAAACUGGAGGAAGGUGGGGAUGACGUCAAGUCAUCAUGGCCCUUACGACCAGGGCUACACACGUGCUACAAUGGCGCAUACAAAGAGAAGCGACCUCGCGAGAGCAAGCGGACCUCAUAAAGUGCGUCGUAGUCCGGAUUGGAGUCUGCAACUCGACUCCAUGAAGUCGGAAUCGCUAGUAAUCGUGGAUCAGAAUGCCACGGUGAAUACGUUCCCGGGCCUUGUACACACCGCCCGUCACACCAUGGGAGUGGGUUGCAAAAGAAGUAGGUAGCUUAACCUUCGGGAGGGCGCUUACCACUUUGUGAUUCAUGACUGGGGUGAAGUCGUAACAAGGUAACCGUAGGGGAACCUGCGGUUGGAUCACCU